rnacentral:tRNA from 1 species
GGUGGAGCUCAGUGGCAGAGCACGUGCUUAGCAUGCAUGAGGUCCUGGGUUCAAUCCCCAGGGCUGCCA